rnacentral:sRNA from 2 species
AUGCAAUUCCAUCAAGUUUUUAUCCAUUCUCAAUAUAAUCUGGCUGUCAGAUGAAACAUCCGAUUUAAAGAAGUAUAUACUACAGAAUAUUAAAGAAAGCAGGAUUUUCAAACAGCUGGAUGUAAUGAUCAGCCAGGCACGGGCAGGCAAGGUUAACCACUCGACCAAAAAGGUCAUACGCAAUAACAGCUGCACACGCUCUGAUCUGAUUCCAUGGAAGGUUGGCUAAAAUAGUCUAGAGUCAUAGGCUCGGUCGCCCUGGAGCUUGCCAAUUUCCCGGUCAUUGGGUGUGGUGUCAGAACGCUGCAACAUUUCAAGCCCAUCGCUCUAUGCAGCCACCCUUGUCUGUUGAUGGCAUCUUGGCUAUGUAUAUUCUUCUUGUCUGAUCGCGCGAGUCAGGAUACAAUGGCCUGUGAAGCCAUUUGACAGCACUAUCUAUGAGCUACUUUUCAAGCAUCUACUUUACAGAGGAUGAGUUAGAAGUUUGUACUUAAACUCCACUGUACGCCAUAACAAAGCAGCCGAGGCGAUACCUCCAGGGCAAUUACAGAGCAUUAGUCAUGCCACUGCUUGCCCGGCAUCGAGAUCUUUUUCCACUCAGCAAAUUCACCAUCGAAGAUGCAGGCAGUAUACGCGUGUGAUGGAUAUUGUGAAUCGACAAACUGACACUUCUUUCUGCCCUUUAGUACAAAUGGGCACUUUGCACCAUGUGGAGUCGCGUGAUGGAUUUUGUACUGCCUGAAACAGUGUUACACCUACAAUCCCUUGUCUGGAAAUGUCCUUGUGGGGAAAGACUACAAAGCUGAACAUAAGAUCUAUUUCAAAUAAUCACCUUUUACAUCUCUAUAACUUUGUCAUACUCAGUAAUCCUAAUGACAACUAUGAACUUAUUCUUGAAACACAUUCACGAUGCCAUUUUUUGAGCUAAAGCAUAAGGUCUGAGGAUCAGCUGAACUCAAUUUGAUCUUUAUCAUCUCUCUCACUCUCACUGAUCUGCUAACUGAAAAAUGUUUUUCAAUACCUUCAUAUUCAGUGGUCAGAUGAAUUGAAUCUCAACCAACACCAUAGCACGUUGACAAAUUGAUUUUAAAGAUGAGAAAAUCAGUGGUUCAAAUGAGAUGAAAGUUCUGCAGUCUCUGGUAGAAUUGUUCUGUGGUCUUCUAAAUAGUUUCAGGACUCAACUGAAAAAGUUAGAAGAAUGAGUUGCAGAGAGAGGGUGUCUAUCCUUCAAAGGGGAAUGUAUGGGUGGUAGUGCACAUUAGUUUGGGCGAACAGCAGGUGUUGAGAUUGGCAAGAAAGAGAGCGGAAGAGAUGUUAGCAGCGGUGGAGAGCGGGAGUGGAAAUGAGAAGGAUUCGUUAACGACGCCGGCGAUGCGCGAACUGCGGAAAAGGACUCUGCAGUUGUUGUCAGGUUGCUCAUUACGAAGAGUACAAGGCAAAAUGUCAAUGUACAGCUUCUAAGGCUGGUUCUAAAAAAAUAAAAACUUAAGAGCGUUUGCAACCUUGUUCGUCAAUUACUCAAAAUUGCAUAUUCUUGCGCCGUGGCUUUGGCCGAGGCCAGUGCUCAGCAGGGGGGGGGGGUCAUUAAGCCUUCAACUGCUCUGCUCCGCCCUUGGUUGUCAUCUUCAAAAGGAGAGGCUACAUCCGUAGGGCGGAGUCGGACUUCUCAAUUGAAAAAAUUUGAAAGAAAAAGCCAACCCAAUCACAUAAUUAUAUUUUGUAGCAUGGUUAGCAUCUAUACCCAUACGGCUGUACACAGUGCUUGUCGCAUUCAGAAGG